rnacentral:rRNA from 1 species
UUUGUAAACCGCUUUCAGUAGGGAAGAAGCGAAAGUGACGGUACCUACAAAAGAAGCACCGGCUAACUAUGUGCCAGCAGCCGCGGUAAUACAUAGGGUGCAAGCGUUGUCCGGAAUUAUUGGGCGUAAAGAGCUCGUAGGUCGUUUGUUACGUCGGAUGUGAAAACCUGAGGCUCAACCUCAGGCCUGCAUUCGAUACGGGCAAACUAGAGUUUGGUAGGGGAGACUGGAAUUCCUGGUGUAGCGGUGGAAUGCGCAGAUAUCAGGAGGAACACCAAUGGCGAAGGCAGGUCUCUGGGCCAAUACUGACACUGAGGAGCGAAAGUCUGGGGAGCGAACAGGAUUAGAUACCCUGGUAGUCCAGACCGUAAACGGUGGGCACUAGUUGUGGGAACCUUCCACGGUUUCUGCGACGCAGCUAACGCAUUAAGUGCCCCGCCUGGGGAGUACGAUCGCAAGAUUAAAACUCAAAGGAAUUGACGGGGCCCCGCACAAGCAGCGGAGCAUGCGGCUUAAUUCGACGCAACGCGAAGAACCUUACCAAGGCUUGACAUAUAGGGAAAAGUGGCAGAGAUGUCAUGUCCGCAAGGGCUCUAUACAGGUGGUGCAUGGUUGUCGUCAGCUCGUGUCGUGAGAUGUUGGGUUAAGUCCCGCAACGAGCGCAACCCUCGUUCUGUGUUGCCAGCAUUUAGUUGGGGACUCACAGGAGACUGCCGGGGUUAACUCGGAGGAAGGUGGGGAUGACGUCAAAUCAUCAUGCCCCUUAUGUCUUGGGCUGCACGCAUGCUACAAUGGCCGGUACAGAGGGCUGCAAUACCGUAAGUGGAGCGAAUCCCAAAAAGCCGGUCUC